rnacentral:misc_RNA from 1 species
GUAGGUGAACCUGCGGAAGGAUCAUUAAAAAGAUCGAACCAAAAUAUGGACGAUCAAAUCCAUAUCCACCUUGUGUGCACUCAUUGACCGUUCACUUUGGCAGGAGUCGUCUUCGAUCGAUCGAUCGGAGCGAAGGAGGUUCUCUCCCCUACUUGGGGAUUUGACACCUUGGCCUGCCAGAGUUUUUCUCCUAAACACACUUUUAAAUCUUUUGGACUGAACCCUCGUCUCGAUUCUCUGUAAUCGGUCG